rnacentral:rRNA from 1 species
CCUACGGGGUGCUGCAGUGGGGAAUAUUGCACAAUGGGCGAAAGCCUGAUGCAGCAACGCCGCGUGAAGGAAGAAGGGUUUCGGCUCGUAAACUUCUAUCAACAGGGACGAAAGAAAUGACGGUACCUGAAUAAGAAGCCCCGGCUAACUACGUGCCAGCAGCCGCGGUAAUACGUAGGGGGCAAGCGUUAUCCGGAAUUACUGGGUGUAAAGGGUGAGUAGGCGGCAUGGUAAGCCAGAUGUGAAAGCCUUGGGCUUAACCCGAGGAUUGCAUUUGGAACUAUCAAGCUAGAGUACAGGAGAGGAAAGCGGAAUUCCUAGUGUAGCGGUGAAAUGCGUAGAUAGUAGGAGGAACACCAGUGGCGAAGGCGGUCUGCUGGACAGCAACUGACGCUGAGGCGCGAAAGCGUGGGGAGCAAACAGGAUUAGAUACCCCUGUUC